rnacentral:rRNA from 1 species
GACGAACGCUGGCGGCGUGCUUAACACAUGCAAGUCGAACGGAAAGGCCCUGCUUUUGUGGGGUGCUCGAGUGGCGAACGGGUGAGUAACACGUGAGUAACCUGCCCUUGACUUUGGGAUAACUUCAGGAAACUGGGGCUAAUACCGGAUAGGAGCUCCUGCUGCAUGGGGGGGGUUGGAAAGUUUCGGCGGUUGGGGAUGGACUCGCGGCUUAUCAGCUUGUUGGUGGGGUAGUUGCUUACCAAGGCUUUGACGGGUAGCCGGCCUGAGAGGGUGACCGGCCACAUUGGGACUGCGAUACGGCCCAGACUCCUACGGGAGGCAGCAGUGGGGAAUAUUGCACAGUGGGCGGAAGCCUGAUGCAGCAACGCCGCGUGCGGGAUGACGGCCUUCGGGUUGUAAACCGCUUUCGCCUGUGACGAAGCGUGAGUGACGGUAAUGGGUAAAGAAGCACCGGCUAACUACGUG